rnacentral:tRNA from 2 species
GGAGGGUUCGCAUAGCGGUCUAGUGCAGUCGCUUGGAAAGCGGCCGUGGGGAAACUCACCAAGAGUUCGAAUCUCUUACCCUCCGCCA